CCUACGGGAGGCUGCAGUGGGGAAUAUUGGACAAUGGGGGGAACCCUGAUCCAGCCAUGCCGCGUGUGUGAAGAAGGCCCUCGGGUUGUAAAGCACUUUCAGUGAGGAAGAACGCCUGGUGGUUAAUACCCAUCAGGAAAGACAUCACUCACAGAAGAAGCACCGGCUAACUCCGUGCCAGCAGCCGCGGUAAUACGGAGGGUGCGAGCGUUAAUCGGAAUUACUGGGCGUAAAGCGCGCGUAGGUGGCUUUAUAAGCCGGUUGUGAAAGCCCCGGGCUCAACCUGGGAACGGCAUCCGGAACUGUCAAGCUAGAGUGCAGGAGAGGAAGGUAGAAUUCCCGGUGGAGCGGUGAAAUGCGUAGAGAUCGGGAGGAAUACCAGUGGCGAAGGCGGCCUUCUGGACUGACACUGACACUGAGGUGCGAAAGCGUGGGUAGCAAACAGGAUUAGAUACCCUAGUAGUC
rnacentral:rRNA from 1 species